rnacentral:rRNA from 1 species
UACGUAGGGUGCAAGCGUUAAUCGGAAUUACUGGGCGUGAAGCGUGCGCAGGCGGUUGUGCAAGACAGAUGUGAAAUCCCCGGGCUCAACCUGGGAAUUGCAUUUGUGACUGCACGGCUAGAGUGGUGUCAGAGGGGGGUAGAAUUCCACGUGUAGCAGUGAAAUGCGUAGAGAUGUGGAGGAAUACCGAUGGCGAAGGCAGCCCCCUGGGAUAACACUGACGCUCAUGGCACGAAAGCGUGGGGAGCAAACAGG